GACGAACGCUGGCGGCGUGCUUAACACAUGCAAGUCGAACGAUGAAGCCGGAGCUUGCUCCGGUGGAUUAGUGGCGAACGGGUGAGUAACACGUGAGCAAUCUGCCCUUGACUCUGGAAUAACUGCGGGAAACUGUAGCUAAUACCGGAUACGACACCUUGGGGCAUCCCAGGGUGUGGAAAGAAUUUCGGUCAAGGAUGAGCUCGCGGCCUAUCAGCUAGUUGGUGAGGUAAUGGCUCACCAAGGCGACGACGGGUAGCCGGCCUGAGAGGGUGACCGGCCACACUGGAACUGAGACACGGUCCAGACUCCUACGGGAGGCAGCAGUGGGGAAUAUUGCACAAUGGGCGAAAGCCUGAUGCAGCAACGCCGCAUGAGGGAUGAAGGCCUUCGGGUUGUAAACCUCUUUUAGCAGGGAAGAAGCGAAAGUGACGGUACCUGCAGAAAAAGCACCGGCUAACUACGUGCCAGCAGCCGCCGUAA
rnacentral:rRNA from 1 species